rnacentral:rRNA from 1 species
GAUGAACGCUGGCGGCGUGCUUAACACAUGCAAGUCGAACGGAAAGGCCCAAGCUUGCUUGGGUACUCGAGUGGCGAACGGGUGAGUAACACGUGGGUGAUCUGCCCUGCACUUCGGGAUAAGCCUGGGAAACUGGGUCUAAUACCGGAUAGGACCACAUUUUGGAUGGUUUGGUGGAAAGUUUUUCGGUGUGGGAUGAGCUCGCGGCCUAUCAGCUUGUUGGUGGGGUAAUGGCCUACCAAGGCGUCGACGGGUAGCCGGCCGGAGAGGGUGUACGGCCACAUUUGGACUGAGAUACGGCCCAGACUCCUACGGGAGGCAGCAGUGGGGAAGAUUGCACAAUGGGCGCAAGCCUGAUGCAGCGACGCCGCGUGGGGGAUGACGGCCUUCGGGUUGUAAACUCCUCUCGCUAGGGACGAAGCGUUUUUGUGACGGUACCUGGAGAAGAAGCACCGGCUAACUACGUG